GGUCGUAUAGCUCAGUCGAUCGGUAGAGCACAGUGCUAAUAACGCUGCGGUUCAGGGUUCGAGCCCCUGUAUGACCA
rfam:Phytophthora infestans T30-4 supercont1.4 genomic scaffold, whole genome shotgun sequence.